rnacentral:lncRNA from 7 species
GUCGUGACUGGGUUUAACUGCCGACAUAGGUUUCCUCUGUGUGCUCCACUGUGGCCUAGAAAGAAUUAAAAAGUGCAGUGCGGUUCAUAGCAAUACAUAUACUUGACAUUGCAGAAGUAAAAACGUGUUCCGGGCACUUGGUGAAUGGAGAACCUUGUCACUGUAAAUUGGUUCUUAAACCUUGUUGCGAUGUAAUAAUCAUGUAAACACUGUAAAACAUGCGAAUUUUCCAAGGCAGCAAUAAGCUUCAGAGUUGAAGAAACCGUUAACCUGGAUGAACAUGCGAGGACGCUUCUUAUCUUUGAGUAAAAGGUGGCUUAGGGUUUGUUUGGAUGACGUGUGGAUUUUGAAAAAGUGAAAAAACCGUUGUAAGGUAUAGACCAUGAGAAUUCAAAUAAUUCUACGUCUCCUUUGAUGACUUCACAAAGAAUCAGAUCUCUUUCGAUCCUUUUCUCAAGCGAUCACCAAGAUCGAGCUUCAGUUCUCUUAUCAAAUCAAAUGGUGAGUGCAAUCUCUCCCACAAGGUACUCCACAAAAAGUCGGAAGCUCUUGUUUGCUUUACAAUUUGGAGCAGCAACUCUAUACAAGAAUGAUAGUAAAUCUUCUCUCUUUUCUCGGAGUCAAAACUCAACACAAGUGUUCUAGCCACUCUUUUGCUACCUUAGGCUCUUGCAAGAUGCUAUGCUAAGCACACGAUGGUUUUGUAAGCACUUAAGAUGGUUUGGAUGCUAUGGAGAUGAUCCUCUAACUUGUAUAUGAUGUUUGUUUGUUAAUGGAUUGAGUUGUUUUUGGUUGGAGGG